rnacentral:rRNA from 1 species
GAUUAACGCUGGCGGCGUGCAUAACACAUGCAAGUCGAACGAUGAAACUUUAAUGACCCCUUCGGGGAGAAUUAAAGCGGAUUAGUGGCGAACGGGUGAGUAACGCGUGAGUAACCUGCCUUACACAAGGGGAUAGCCUUUGGAAACGAAGAAUAAUACCCUAUAAAACCAUAAAAGCACAUGCAAUUAUGGUCAAAGUGAUAGCGGUGUAAGAUGGACUUGCGUCUGAUUAGCUAGUUGGUGAGAUAAAAGCCCACCAAGGCAACGAUCAGUAGCCGGCUUGAGAGAGUGUACGGCCACAUUGGGACUGAGACACGGCCCAGACUCCUGCGGGAGGCAGCAGUGGGGAAUUUUGCACAAUGGGGGAAACCCUGAUGCAGCGACGCCGCGUGAUUUAGAAGGCCUUCGGGUUGUAAAAAUCUUUUGUAUAGGAAGAAAAUGACAGUACUAUACGAAUAAGGUCCGGCUAAUUACGUG